ACUAACGCUGGCGGUGCGUCUUUAAACAUGCAAGUCAAACGGUUAACCUCGGUUAGCAGUGGCGAACGGGUGAGUAGCACUUAAGUAAUCUGCCUUAUAGUCUGAAAUAACUUUUUGAAAGAAAAGCUAAUGUUGGAUAGUCUUUUAAGUUCACAAGAGUUUAAAAGUAAAGUGGCAACACGCUAUAAGAUGAGCUUGAGUAUGAUUAGCUAGUUGGUAAGGUAAUGGCUUACCAAGGCGAUGAUCAUUAACUGUCUUGAGAGAGAGAACAGUCACAAUGGAACUGAGAUACGGUCCAUACUUCUACGGAAGGCAGCAGUUUAGAAUUUUGCUCAAUGGGGGAAACCCUGAAGCAGCGACACCGUGUAAAUGAAGAAGGUCUUCGGAUUGUAAAAUUUAGUAAGUAGGGAAAAAUAAGUAAUUUUAAUUACGAUGAUGGUACCUACCUAAAGUACCGGCUAAUUACGUGCCAGCAGCCGCGGUAAUACGUAUGGUACAAGCGUUGUUCGGAAUCAUUGGGCGUAAAGGGUGUGUAGGUGGAAUAGAUAGUCAGAUGUGAAAUCUAUAGACUUAAUUUAUAAACUGCGUUUGAAACUUCUAUUCUAGAGUUUAAAAAAGGUAAAUGGAAUUCUUGGUGUAGUGGUAAAAUACAUAGAUAUCAAGAGGAACACCGAUGGCGAAAGCAAUUUACUGUUUUAAAACUGACACUGAGGCACUAAAGCGUGGGUAGUAAACAGGAUUAGAUACCCUGGUAAUCCACGCCCUAAACUUUGUCUACUAAUUGUUGAAAGUUCUACUUUCAGUAAUGCACUUAACAGAUUAAGUAGACCGCCUGGGAACUACGAUCGCAAGAUUGAAACUCAAAGGAAUUGACGGGGGUCCGCACAAGCAGUGGAGCAUGUGGUUUAAUUCGAUGAUACGCGAAAAACCUUACCUGGACUUGACAUAUGCAGGAAUUAUGUAGAAAUAUAUAAGUCUUCGGACCUGUUUACAGGUGCUGCAUGGUUGUCGUCAGCUCGUGUCGUGAGAUGUUGGGUUUAGUCCCGCAACGAGCGCAACCCCUAUUUCAUGUUGCUAAUAUUAAGUUAAGCACUCGUGAGAAACUGAAAGUGAUGAACUGUAGGAAGGUGGGGAUGACGUCAAAUCCUCAUGGCCUUUAUGUCCAGGGCUACACACGUGCUACAAUGGCUAGUACAACGGGGAGCAAUAUCGCAAGGUGGAGCCAAUCCUUAAAGUUAGUCUAAGUUCGGAUUGAAAUCUGCAACUCGAUUUCAUGAAGCUGGAAUUGCUAGUAAUCGUGGAUCAGCAUGCCACGGUGAAUACGUUCUCGGACCUUGUACACACCGCCCGUCACACCACCUGAGUGGGGAGCACCCAAAGUAGUUAUAAUAACCGCAAGGAGUUAAACUACUAAGGUGAAACUCGUGAAGGGGGUGA
rnacentral:rRNA from 1 species